CGGCCGCUCCGGCCCUUUGCCACCGCCGCCCAGUGAGAGGCCCCCUCCACCCAUCAGGGAUCCCCCCAGCCGAGCAGGCCCCCUGCCACCACCACCUCCCAUCAGCAGGAAUGGAAGCACCUCAAGGGCUUUACCUGCUGCUCCCCAGCUGCCUUCCCGGGCUGGGCUGGAGAACCAGAGAGGUGGGCCCCGGCCACCGCUUCCCCCAGACCGGCCAGGAACAGGCGCACCACCACCACCACCGCCACCUUCAUCAGCACUCCGGAACGGCUUCCAGGACUCAGGCGAUGAUGAGUGGGAAAGCAGGUUUUCUUUUCAUCCUAUAUCUGAUUUGCCACCUCCAGAGCCAUAUGUACCUGUGAAUCGAAGUUAUCCCAGUAAACUAGCAAGAAAUGAAAACCGAGGAGGCUCUGGUCGAAAAGAAAGAGGUGUCCCCCCGCUUCCACCUAUACCAAGGUGAAGUGGGUUCUGGCCCUUUUUUGGGCUACAUCUGUUUUACAAGGUCUCCUUCAAGUCAGCUCUCCUGUCCACAUUGUUGGAAAGUUGUCUGUUUUGCUCUGUUCCCACUUUUGGCUUGUCAGCUGGAAUAAACUUCAGUCUAUUACAAAAGUAAUAGACAAAGCUUAUGAACUAUAGUUGCUCAAAGCUAUAAAUUUUGUUUGCUUAUACUGCAGGCUGUCCUGAAAGGCAUUUUAUGGACCAUGCCCAACAUACAUGCAUCAUGCUUACCGGGUCCAGCCCUGUCCUCUUGAGAGUUCCACAGAGGUCUGGCUUUGAAUUUAACGAGAGGUGGAACAAAGCUGUUUCAUUCAUGUGGGGUACAGUGGCUGUAUUAUUUGAUCAAUCAAAUACAAUCUGUUUGCUGUUUAUAAACCAACUGCCAGGGAAUACUGUAUAGCUGAGAAUCCCCUGGAGCCUUCUUUGCUUGCCUGACCUGGUCCAUCUGCUUCUGCGAGCCAUAUUCCUACUACACGGGAAUCAAGUUUAUCUUAAAUCUUUUCACCUCAGCUUAGUCAAGUAAUUUUUUUUUAUACGACAGAUAGCACGUCCUGUCCUGAGGAUGGAGUGUUGUCUGGCCUUAUUUUUAUCUGCAGAGAAUCAUUCAAAAAAGAGCACAAGUGAAGAAUCCGGCAGCAUAAAAAUAUCUUUUUUUACAACUUUUUUCCUUGUUUUGUAAUAACAUUACAGUUUUAAUCACUUUGUGCUUUUCUACUUUGUUAUGGACCAUCCUAGAGUCAUCUGUGUGCUGGAUUAUUGCAACACACUCUUCCUGAGACUACCUGCAAAGAAUUCUUCAAAAGUAGUCUUAGUGAAAAUGCAGCAGUUAUUGUAAUUUUUCUUUCUGUAAAACAUUUCUAACACCAGUGCUCCACAGACUGCUUUCCGUUUGUUUCUUUGGUACAAUUAAACGAUGGGUUUUUAAUUUAAAAAAUUUCCUGAGGCUCAGAUGACAGUCUCAGAGAGAUUGUAGUUGACUCAUGUAACAGCAGAGCAGCUGAGGUCAAAAAUGUGCAUAGGUGGAAGCUCUUUGAUGUUGUGAAGGAGGUCUGGGGUUAGUGUGUUCAGGUGGGAGCACGAGCUCCAAAAUUUGCUAUCUGCACUGGUUCAAGAGGAUGGGAAGAUUUGGCCUUCUGAGUUUACCAUGAAGCCUGUUCUUUCAACCUCCACUGAAGGGAGCCUCAGCAGAGAGCUGCGAGACUUAUGCUAACAGAAGAAAGAGAAAAGUAUUCUGACGUUGUGACAAUCGGUUUGUAUGUUUAAUGGCUUUUGAAUUUUGUGUUUGAGAAAAGAGUUCAUCGAAUGAGCGUGUUUUGUAAAAGGAUCCAAAUGCAUGUAAAAUGCCUUUGAAAAUUUGAGGAAGGUUUUAAUUCUGAAUUUUCGAAUAUUGCCAAAUAAUAUCUCUUUGUUAAUUGGACUUCUGAAGUUUAACCCUGAAAAAUUUCUCCUCUGUCUCCUCAACAGCAUUUCUACAGCAUGCUUCUUGGGACCCCUACAAAGCCUAUACCAGCAACCAUGUUUCACUGGGUGAAAAAAAUAAAAUAGGUCAUGUUAGUUAAGAAAGUGUUUCUCUAGUGUGAGAGAUGUGAUCCUAAGCUGAGGCUAGCAUGAGGUUAGCCCUAGAAGAUCCAGGGAAUGUAUCUGAAGAGAGCUUGAACCCCACUGCAGUGUCUGCGUGUGGGGCUUCUUGCCUGUCAGUGGGCUUGGAGGGACAGACUGCCUCUGUCCCAUCGCUGGGUCAGUCACCAUGACAAGGCAGAGUUGGGUGCGGCCACGUCAACGUAACUUCUUGGCCUUUUUGGUAUUUGUUUACAAAAUCUUGUUAGCUGUGAUAGCAUUUGAUUACAUACAGGUUUUUACAUUUUUGUAUCUAAUGACAUAUUUUCAGUUACUAUCUACGGUCUUGAACCUGCAAUUGAGUGCGCAGGCGCAGGGAUGUAUCUACAUCAAGUUGCAGGGUCGUGGCUGUAAGAGUUUCUUAAAGAAAUAUUAAUGGGACCUCCAUGUGACAGGUGCACCUUGAGAUCAAGUCUAGCUCAGUACUGAAUUUCUAUGUGUUUUAUGGAUGUCACUUAAAUGUGUGCACUAUGCAAAGUGCCUGUCUCUUUGGCUUAUUAUUAUGUGAAUAGAAGUCCAAAUAAGAUUUUUAGGAUAAUAACUUAAAGGAUAAAUUAUUGUAUUCAUGUUAUUAAACUGAAGCACUUACAACUUUGAGGAGCAACAUUCUGAAUUUAAGAAUACAAUAUUUUUGAUACAUUGACCUGCCAAAUCUUUAAUAUCCAAACAGCUAUGCAGCCAAAAAAACUAGAAAAAAUAAAAUCCAAGAGCUGUACUGUGUCUUGUAACUUACCUGCUUCCAGUAUGACUGUUUUACUUCAAGUAAAAUGCUGCAGAUUGUUCUGCCACUCCUCUGCAUCAUUCAGAAUAUCCCAUAUUUGAUCUUUUCGGUAAGGUUCGCUGACCAGAAAGUCUGGACCUUAACCAGUGACUUGGCAAGUCAGCUUCAGUCUCACUUAAAAUGGCUACAUAGAAGGCCCUCAGUCAACAGGCUGAGGAACCCAAGCUGCCUGUUGGUUUCACCACUUCCUUGUACUGUAGACACCUUCUCAGAACGGCUGUUUGGCAUAUAUGUCAAGUACCUUUAAAACGCAGAAAGAGGUAUUUUCUCACCCAGCAACAACUUGACUAUUUAUAUCUUUUGCAAUAAAAUUCCCUAGUAUAAUCCAGAACAAUGCAGCAUUUUAUCUUCCAUAUAUCGCUUCACAUAUCAGUAGCUUUUUACAGUAUGAGCAGUAUUAAGGUAUUUAUUUCACUAUGAAGUCUUAAAAGAAAAAGGAUACAGAACAGGUUGAUCCAGUGGUGCCUUAUGACUUUUUUAGUCAACUUUUCUGUGUUUCACAAGACAAAUGAAGUCGUUGUUCUUGCACGUCCCAACAUAAAUAGCGCUGAUAGCAGCAUUGCACAGUGCUGCGCCAAGUCCUGCUGCUGUCGUGUGCUCAGUCUGCUAACUUGAGUGAGCUGAAUGUGAGGAGAGGUGUGGGUCAGCUUCCAGGUGAGACAUGGUGGCACUGGUGCCAUUGCUGGCAUUGCUCUGGAAACCUUCCCUUCUCCAGGCAGCCCAGCUGCCUUCAGCAUGUUUGCACAGUGUUAAAGAACUAAGCUGGGUUCACUGCUUGCAUCUGACAGUUACUGAUUUUGUUUUAAUGGCAUUGUCUUAAUAACAUUCACACCUCAGAGCUUUUUUAUGUCGUCACCAAGUCUUGGAUUGCAUGACAAUGGCCAUGAAUGUUCAUUUUUGUUUAAUUUGACGAAGUAAAUAAAAUGAGAAUAACUUUUAUAGUAAUUUCUGCUCAGUAUUUCUGUAAGGAAACACAAGCUGUCUGCUCUGACUUUGUGCAGCAGCUGCAGGGAGAAAAGGUCCCAGUGAUUUGUGUUGAGUUGUUGAAGGAAGCUCAGCUUGUGACGCAGGAAGCAUGUAUUUCUGUAAAUGAACCACUUCUUGAAUAAGGUUGCAAGGUUCUCAUUGAGAAGCCACCAUUUCCCAACACCAAAAGAGUCAUAAAAACUGUUCUUUUCUGCAAGACUGAGCUAUUAGAGAAGUUCCUUCAGUUGCCAUUUUAAAAGGAUGGCAGCAGUUUGUCCUUGCAGCACUGACUGCUUACAUGUCAUUUGUACAAGUAGGUCUCUGCUGGAGAACAGAGCUGCUGUCGUGGUUCACAUAGUUUGCAAGACAACUUUUUCUGUGCUGAAAUAUGAAAGUAGGAAGGGUGCAUUUACCCUUGGAUGCAAAAAGUGAAGCUGGAUGAUCAAAGUGGGGUUGUUUCGAGCAGAAUGUUGACUGCCAGGAGAGGGGAGCUGGGGAGGAGAAACGCACCCAUGGAGGAUAAGCCAGUUGGCUGGAUGUGGGCACUCAUAUGAAAGCACAGAGCCAGGCGUAAGCUGUGUGAGUGUGAGGUUGUGAACGCUGUCUGUCAGUGCACUCAGCCUGUCACUGCAGUACUUCGAGUCUGUACAGUACGUCUUGGAUGAACUUUAACCUCUCAGAUUGUACUCACCGGAAAAAAAGGGAGAAUCUCUUACUGGAGGUGCUCAGUAAGACACAAAAAGUGGUUCGUGGAAAGCUUUGUAUGUCCCUAAGGGAAUGCAGGGUUGCUCAGCCUGCCCGGUGGCACUGCUGCCAGUUAUGAACAGGGCGCUGGCAGUGUGGGGAGUGCUGAGGGAAACCGGGAGGGCUGCAUGUCCUGGGCAAGGGAGUGGCAUGUUGGCAUGCUGAUGUUUUGUAAUUUGCGAUACAGGUUCUGUAGCAUAAACUCUUAAGUGAUAAGAAGGCACUCUUAAGUUUGGAUUCAAAGUCACACAGGGCUAUAAAAGAGAAACAUAACUUCCAAUGCAGGCUGAGCAGAAAGUAACACGGUUUUUUCAGGCACUUACAGUUGGAACUUUUAUAAAAUAUUAAUCGAGUUCUGUGAAAUUUUUCUGCUUAACAUUUAUCUUGUAUGUGAUGUUUUUUUUCUCCUUAUUUUUCUAUCCUAUGCCAAAUAAAUUUUACUUUUAUUUA